rnacentral:snRNA from 1 species
AGUAAUUUCAGUAAAAUUAAAAGC